rnacentral:lncRNA from 1 species
CCCCAUGUUCAUUCACCACCUUGUCCGCAUCCAUUUGGUAACUCCUAAUCGCCUUGGUAGAAACACUAUUACUACUUUAUCCCGCGCAUAAAAUAAGAAGAAACGGCUGUUGGAAGAGUGCCAGGUCCAGGCGGAGGUGAAAUGUUUGCUCGCGUAUCUUAUUACGAGGAUGCGAAGUUAUACGAAAAUUAAUAAAGAUAUCGGAGAUC